rnacentral:rRNA from 1 species
GAUGACGCUGGGGCUUGCUCUGGUGGAUUAGUGGCGAACGGGUGAGUAACACGUGAGCAACCUGCCCUGGACUCUGGGAUAAGCGCUGGAAACGGCGUCUAAUACUGGAUACGAGACGUGGCCGCAUGGUCAACGUUUGGAAAAAUUUUUCGGUCUGGGAUGGGCUCGCGGCCUAUCAGCUUGUUGGUGAGGUAAUGGCUCACCAAGGCGUCGACGGGUAGCCGGCCUGAGAGGGUGACCGGCCACACUGGGACUGAGACACGGCCCAGACUCCUACGGGAGGCAGCAGUGGGGAAUAUUGCACAAUGGGCGGAAGCCUGAUGCAACAACGCCGCGUGAGGGAUGACGGCCUUCGGGUUGUAAACCUCUUUUAGCAGGGAAGAAGCGUGAGUGACGGUACCUGCAGAAAAAGCGCCGGCUAACUACGUGCCAGCAGCCGCGGUAAUACGUAGGGCGCAAGCGUUAUCCGGAAUUAUUGGGCGUAAAGAGCUCGUAGGCGGUUUGUCGCGUCUGCUGUGAAAUCCCGAGGCUCAACCUCGGGCCUGCAGUGGGUACGGGCAGACUAGAGUGCGGUAGGGGAGAUUGGAAUUCCUGGUGUAGCGGUGGAAUGCGCAGAUAUCAGGAGGAACACCGAUGGCGAAGGCAGAUCUCUGGGCCGUAACUGACGCUGAGGAGCGAAAGGGUGGGGAGCAAACAGGCUUAGAUACCCUGGUAGUCCACCCCGUAAACGUUGGGAACUAGUUGUGGGGGUCCUUUCCACGGAUUCCGUGACGCAGCUAACGCAUUAAGUUCCCCGCCUGGGGAGUA